UCCAUUUCUCAUUCACACCAACUUAGCUAGCUUUAAUCAUUAACUAGCUUUAACAAUACAUUUAACAUUUUUCUUUGUUUCUUUGUUACCAUACAUUUUGAAGAGUAACCACCACUGGAACUCCUCCAAACAUAUUCCUGGGAGUCAAUAGGUGGGACUUUCCAUCCAAUACCUGAAGUGAGAGGACAUGAUGAAGUCCUCUGAGACGAUGUAGAAUCGGAUGAUUAUGCGUAUUGUUAACAACAGGAGAAAUACAUGCGCACUUACUUCAAGGUGUGAAUAAAAGUUCCUAGAAUAUAAUCAAAGAUCCAUUCCUAUGAUAUCAUCACUAAAACACAGUAUUCCUGAUAAAUAUCAUCAAAACUUGGUAUCAUGAUGAAAUACAGUAACAUUUUUCUUUGUUUUCUUUGUUACCAUACAUUUUGAAGAGUAACCACCACUGGAACUCCUCCAAACAUAUUCCUGGGAGUCAAUAGGUGGGACUUUCCAUCUUGCAAUACCUGAAGUGAGAGAACAUGAUGAAGUCCUCUGAGACGAUGUAGAAUCGGAUGAUUAUGCGUAUUGUUAACAACAGGAGAAAUACAUGCGCACUUACUUCAAGUUGUGAAUAAAAGUUCCUAGAAUAUAAUCAAAGAUCCAUUCCUAUGGUAUCAACAUUAAAACACUGAUAAAUAUCAUCAAAACUUGGUAUCAUGAUGAAAUACAGUAACAUUUUUCUUUGUUUUCUUUGUUAACAUACAUAUUCUGAAUAUCAAUUACGUACACUGCGAUCUUUUGGCUUGUGUUCUUCAGAAUAAAACCAUUACUGCUAUAAGAUCAAGGAAUUUGGGAAAAAUCUAUAUUCCUCUUAUUUCAUCUGAAAGAAUAAAACAAAAAAAGAAGUGAAAAGCCUAUGAAUUAUAAACAGGCUGAUAUUUUUUAUUUUACAGAUUCUGCCAGAUGGAGACAUCCCUAGUAAGCGUAAAACCUAGAGUGGUUCAUCCUCAGUAUCCAAAUCAGACAAGAAAAUUUAAUAAACCAAAACAACACAUUAAUGAAUUUCGACGCACAAAUUAAAAUUGUAUAGCCCCAAGUAUCUCUCUAUUUUCAAUUAACAUAACAGAAGAAGGACAUCAUUGAUAAACGAAACAGAAGAAAGUGUAAAGAGCAACAUACAGACAAAGCAGAGGAGCUAACCAAGGCGAAACCCACAGGUGUGGGCUAAUCUGGAAGAAAGAAGCUAUAGCGAUUUGCGAAAACGAUUAGUAGCAUCGACGGAAACGACAAUUUAGGAAAUCAAAACGGGUGUAGUUAGCCAUCGCCAAAGAGAAGAUUCUGAAGAAAAAGAUGAACGGGGUAAAUGAUAAAAGUAAAAAAAAAAAUCAAUUGAUCUAGGCAUAUCAUCAAACAUUCUCCGUGCAUCAGUGUUAUAAUACGAGGCUUGCAUGUGAAACUCCGGCAACAAAAUGUCCCAAAGAACAUAGGAAGAACCAGAUGCUCAACAAAAUCCCGUUAGCAGCAGGGUACAUAAAAGAAAAGAAGCAACAAGAAGUAUAGAAAAAUUCGCCACGACAAUAAUGCACAUACCAAAGACAACAUAAAUCUGGAAUUGAGAAAUUUAGGCAUAUUGAAAAGAAAUCGUCAGAUCCCAUUAGUAAUUAAAAGGUAUAAAAAGAUCAAGACUAAAUUUACAGUGCCAACCAGGAUAAAUUAACUUCAUUAAGGAAGACAUGCAACAGAGAAUACCAUUCAGUCAAAAUCACAAAACAGUAAACCCAGAUUCAUAUCAAGGUAUAACGAAGACAUGCAACAGAGAAUACUAUUCAGUUAAAAUCACAAAACAGUAAACCCAGAAAUUUACAUUGAUAAUUGAAACAUAGACAUGGCUAAAGGAACAGAAGAAAUCGAAAAUUAACCUUUGAAAUCCACCAAAAAUAAAGCAAAAAAAAAAAGAAAGAGGACGAAGAAGAAGAACCCAUAGGGAGAGCUGAGCAAAGAAACCAAAAGGUUCUCCUCUCAAAUUCAAUAGCUUCCGAAGAAAAAAGUGAAGGUUUAAUAGAUGAGAAAGAGCAAUUUCAAGCAAAAUCAGUCGAGAAGGAGAACUAAGAAUCGGAUUCGUUUAUGCUAAUGAAGAAAUUGUAAAAAUAUCGAGUAGCUUCUGGUACUCAAUACUCGAUCAAGGAAGGAAAGGAUGUAAUU
rnacentral:lncRNA from 1 species